rnacentral:lncRNA from 1 species
CUAAAUCCAGAUAUGACCAGUAGAACUCUACGGGUAAAUCCAGAUAUGACCAGUAGACCUCUCCCCUCUGUCAGGUAUAUAAGAUAAGAAGCCCCUAAAUCCAGAUAUGACCAGUUGAACUCUCCCCUCUGUCAGGUAUAUAAGAUUGGAAGCCCUAAAUCCAGAUAUGACCAGUAGAACUCUCCCCUCUGUCAGGUAUAUAACAUUGGAAGCCCCUAAAUCCAAGUAUGACCAGUUGAACUCUCCACUCUGUCAGGUAUAUAAGAUAAGAAGUUCAUAGAUCCAGGUAUGACCAGUAAAACUGGCAUUCGGCCAUUAUGACUGAACUAUAUUCAAGACCAAGUUUCAAGACGUACCUUUGUUAAAACUAUAUCUGCAAUUAUUUUUUGAAAGAUUGAUUUGAAUAUUGAAGCUUUAUAUAAUCUUAAUAUGUUAAAUAUUAUCAUUUGAAUGAGUUUCAG